rnacentral:rRNA from 1 species
UUUAUGGAGAGUUUGAUCCUGGCUCAGGAUGAACGCUGGCGGCGUGCCUAAUACAUGCAAGUCGAGCGAACGGACGAGAAGCUUGCUUCUCUGAUGUUAGCGGCGGACGGGUGAGUAACACGUGGAUAACCUACCUAUAAGACUGGGAUAACUUCGGGAAACCGGAGCUAAUACCGGAUAAUAUUUUGAACCGCAUGGUUCAAAAGUGAAAGACGGUCUUGCUGUCACUUAUAGAUGGAUCCGCGCUGCAUUAGCUAGUUGGUAAGGCAACGGCUUACCAAGGCAACGAUGCAUAGCCGACCUGAGAGGGUGAUCGGCCACACUGGAACUGAGACACGGUCCAGACUCCUACGGGAGGCAGCAGUAGGGAAUCUUCCGCAAUGGGCGAAAGCCUGACGGAGCAACGCCGCGUGAGUGAUGAAGGUCUUCGGAUCGUAAAACUCUGUUAUUAGGGAAGAACAUAUGUGUAAGUAACUGUGCACAUCUUGACGGUACCUAAUCAGAAAGCCACGGCUAACUACGUGCCAGCAGCCGCGGUAAUACGUAGGUGGCAAGCGUUAUCCGGAAUUAUUGGGCGUAAAGCGCGCGUAGGCGGUUUUUUAAGUCUGAUGUGAAAGCCCACGGCUCAACCGUGGAGGGUCAUUGGAAACUGGAAAACUUGAGUGCAGAAGAGGAAAGUGGAAUUCCAUGUGUAGCGGUGAAAUGCGCAGAGAUAUGGAGGAACACCAGUGGCGAAGGCGACUUUCUGGUCUGUAACUGACGCUGAUGUGCGAAAGCGUGGGGAUCAAACAGGAUUAGAUACCCUGGUAGUCCACGCCGUAAACGAUGAGUGCUAAGUGUUAGGGGGUUUCCGCCCCUUAGUGCUGCAGCUAACGCAUUAAGCACUCCGCCUGGGGAGUACGACCGCAAGGUUGAAACUCAAAGGAAUUGACGGGGACCCGCACAAGCGGUGGAGCAUGUGGUUUAAUUCGAAGCAACGCGAAGAACCUUACCAAAUCUUGACAUCCUUUGACAACUCUAGAGAUAGAGCCUUCCCCUUCGGGGGACAAAGUGACAGGUGGUGCAUGGUUGUCGUCAGCUCGUGUCGUGAGAUGUUGGGUUAAGUCCCGCAACGAGCGCAACCCUUAAGCUUAGUUGCCAUCAUUAAGUUGGGCACUCUAAGUUGACUGCCGGUGACAAACCGGAGGAAGGUGGGGAUGACGUCAAAUCAUCAUGCCCCUUAUGAUUUGGGCUACACACGUGCUACAAUGGACAAUACAAAGGGCAGCGAAACCGCGAGGUCAAGCAAAUCCCAUAAAGUUGUUCUCAGUUCGGAUUGUAGUCUGCAACUCGACUACAUGAAGCUGGAAUCGCUAGUAAUCGUAGAUCAGCAUGCUACGGUGAAUACGUUCCCGGGUCUUGUACACACCGCCCGUCACACCACGAGAGUUUGUAACACCCGAAGCCGGUGGAGUAACCUUUUAGGAGCUAGCCGUCGAAGGUGGGACAAAUGAUUGGGGUGAAGUCGUAACAAGGUAGCCGUAUCGGAAGGUGCGGCUGGAUCACCUCCUUU